AGUCGAGCGGAAACGAUGAUAGCUUGCUAUCAGGCGUCGAGCGGCGGACGGGUGAGUAAUACUUAGGAAUCUACCUAGUAGUGGGGGAUAGCACGGGGAAACUCGUAUUAAUACCGCAUACGACCUACGGGAGAAAGGGGGCAGUUUACUGCUCUCGCUAUUAGAUGAGCCUAAGUCGGAUUAGCUAGAUGGUGGGGUAAAGGCCUACCAUGGCGACGAUCUGUAGCUGGUCUGAGAGGAUGAUCAGCCACACCGGGACUGAGACACGGCCCGGACUCCUACGGGAGGCAGCAGUGGGGAAUAUUGGACAAUGGGGGAAACCCUGAUCCAGCCAUGCCGCGUGUGUGAAGAAGGCCUUUUGGUUGUAAAGCACUUUAAGCAGUGAAGAAGACUCUUCGGUUAAUACCCGGAGACGAUGACAUUAGCUGCAGAAUAAGCACCGGCUAACUCUGUGCCAGCAGCCGCGGUAAUACAGAGGGUGCAAGCGUUAAUCGGAAUUACUGGGCGUAAAGGGAGCGUAGGUGGCUCGAUAAGUCAGAUGUGAAAUCCCCGGGCUCAACCUGGGAACUGCAUCUGAUACUGUUGAGCUAGAGUAUGUGAGAGGAAGGUAGAAUUCCAGGUGUAGCGGUGAAAUGCGUAGAGAUCUGGAGGAAUACCGAUGGCGAAGGCAGCCUUCUGGCAUAAUACUGACACUGAGGCUCGAAAGCGUGGGUAGCAAACAGGAUUAGAUACCCUGGUAGUCCACGCCGUAAACGAUGUCUACUAGUCGUUGGGUCCCUUGAGGACUUAGUGACGCAGCUAACGCAAUAAGUAGACCGCCUGGGGAGUACGGCCGCAAGGUUAAAACUCAAAUGAAUUGACGGGGGCCCGCACAAGCGGUGGAGCAUGUGGUUUAAUUCGAUGCAACGCGAAGAACCUUACCUGGUCUUGACAUAUCUAGAAUCCUGCAAAGAUGCGGGAGUGCCUUCGCGAAUU
rnacentral:rRNA from 1 species